UACAGAGGGUGCAAGCGUUAAUCGGAAUUACUGGGCGUAAAGCGUGCGUAGACGGUCAUGUAAGUCGGGUGUGAAAGCCCCGGGCUCAACCUGGGAAUUGCAUUCGAGACUGCAUGGCUAGGGUGCGGAAGAGGGAAGCGGAAUUUCCGGUGUAGCGGUGAAAUGCGUAGAUAUCGGAAGGAACACCAGUGGCGAAAGCGGCUUCCUGGCCUGUUCUUGACGCUGAGGCGCGAAAGCUAGGGGAGCAAACGGG
rnacentral:rRNA from 1 species